AGAAAACAAUGUGAAUAUGUCAAUCAUGUCAAGACUACCAAAAAAGAACUUACUUGUACUUGGUGCACGUAGCAUGGAGAGUAUAUCUCCCUAGAGUACAUCUCUCCUACCUGAAUUUUACUUCGAGCAUUCAGCUAAUCGAACAAAAAGUUAAGUGCAUUGUUACUCUGAUAACGUUAACACAAUAUGCUGUCGCUCUUCUGUCUCUCAUUCCAUGCUAUUUGAAGGAAGGCACUAAGAUGGUAUAAAUGCAAAAUAUCAAAGAGGGAUCAGUUUUGAGUCAGUUUCCCAAUCUGGAGUUUCUCCUCAAAUGGAUUUCAGCUGCCCAGCUUUUCCCUAUUUCUGUUUGAAACUUUCCUGCAGUUGAAAGGAAAAACUCA
rnacentral:misc_RNA from 1 species